rnacentral:rRNA from 1 species
ACGAGUUUGAUCAUGGCUCAGGAUGAACGCUAGCGGCAGGCCUAACACAUGCAAGUCGAGGGGCAGCACGUCUUCGGAUGGUGGCGACCGGCGCACGGGUGCGUAACGCGUAUGCAACCUACCUCUUACAGUGGGAUAGCCCAGAGAAAUUUGGAUUAAUACCGCAUAGUAUACAGAUUCAGCAUCGGGACUGUAUUAAACAUUUAUGGGUAAGAGAUGGGCAUGCGUUCUAUUAGUUAGUUGGAGUGGUAACGGCACCCCCAAGACAGCGAUAGAUAGGGGCCCUGAGAGGGGGAUCCCCCACACUGGUACUGAGACACGGACCAGACUCCUACGGGAGGCAGCAGUGAGGAAUAUUGGACAAUGGGCGAGAGCCUGAUCCAGCCAUGCCGCGUGCAGGAAGACGGCCCUAUGGGUUGUAAACUGCUUUUGUACGGGAAGAAACACCCCCUCGUGAGGGGGCUUGACGGUACCGUAAGAAUAAGGAUCGGCUAACUCCGUG